rnacentral:rRNA from 1 species
UACGGGGGGGGCAAGCGUUGUUCGGAAUUACUGGGCGUAAAGGGCUCGUAGGUGGUCAACUAAGUCAUACGUGAAAUCCCUCGGCUUAACCGGGGAACUGCGCCUGAUACUGGUUGACUUGAGUUUGGGAGAGGGACGCGGAAUUCCAGGUGUAGCGGUGAAAUUCGUAGAUAUUGGGAAGAACACCAGUGGCGAAGGCGGCUAACUGGUCCGGUACUGACGCUGAGGUGCGAAAGCGUGGGGAGCAAACAGG